GACGAACGCUGGCGGCGCGCUUAACACAUGCAAGUCGAGCGAGAACCAGGGCUUCGGCCCUGGGGACAGCGGCGAACGGGUGAGUAACACGUGGGUAAUCCACCCUCGGCACCGGAAUAGCCCGGGGAAACCCGGAUUAAUGCCGGAUGGCCCGCCGGCCCUGCGGGGGUGGCGGAAAGGGUAGCUCCGGCCUCAGGCCGAGGACGAGCCCGCGACGGAUUAGCUUGUUGGUGGGGUAACGGCCUACCACGGCUGCGAUCCGUAGCUGGUAUGAGAGGACGAUCAGCCACACUGGGACUGAGACACGGCCCAGACUCCUACGGGAGGCAGCAGUGGGGAAUCUUGCGCAAUGGGCGAAAGCCUGACGCAGCGACGCCGCGUGAGGGAAGAAGGCCUUCGGGUUGUAAACCUCUUUCAGGAGGGACGAAGCCACUCGGGUUAAUAGCCCAGAGGGUGACGGUACCUCCAGAAGAAGCCCCGGCUAACUACGUGCCAGCCGCCGCGGUAACAC
rnacentral:rRNA from 1 species